UUUUAGCUCGCAGUGUGAAAGAGUCUACAAAAUCAUUAAAAAGGAAGUUUUGUACUUGGAGGAAACAUGACUCUUCAAACUAAAGAAAUACCCAACAUGCAGCGAACUAUUACCUGGAAAAAUGUGAAUGAAAGCUUUCAAUGUGAUAGAACAUGUUAUAAAUCUGGCAGAGUAGAAGUUCAGCAGAGUGGUAAUACAUCCACUAUUUUGAUAAAAUAUAUAUCACAGGCAGAUGUGGAUUGGACUUUCCAUGACAAGAAAACUCGCUAUGCAAGGAUUUCUUUGAAGGAAGAAGGCUGGCAAUG